AACGCUGGCGGCGUGCUUAACACAUGCAAGUCGAACGGUGACGGAGAGCUUGCUCUCCUGAUCAGUGGCGAACGGGUGAGUAACACGUGGGCAACUGCCCCAGACUUCGGGAUAACGCUUCGAAAGAGGUGCUAAUACCGAAUACGAACGCCGUGGGCAUCCACGGUGUUGGAAAGUUUUCGGUCUGGGAUGGGCCCGCGGCCUAUCAGCUUGUUGGUGAGGUAAUGGCUCACCAAGGCGACGACGGGUAGCCGGCCUGAGAGGGCGACCGGCCACACUGGGACUGAGACACGGCCCAGACUCCUACGGGAGGCAGCAGUGGGAAUAUUGCGCAAUGGGCGAAAGCCUGACGCAGCAACGCCGCGUGGGGGAUGAAGGCCUUCGGGUUGUAAACCUCUUUCAGCAGGGAAGAAGCGAAAGUGACGGUACCUGCAGAAGAAGCACCGGCUAACUACGUG
rnacentral:rRNA from 1 species